rnacentral:rRNA from 1 species
UACAGAGACUGCAAGCGUUAUUCGGAUUCACUGGGCGUAAAGGGUGCGCAGGCGGCCGGGUGUGUCAGAUGUGAAAUCCCGAGGCUCAACCUCGGAACUGCGUCUGAAACUACUCGGCUAGAGUACUGGAGAGGGUAACGGAAUUCACGGUGUAGCAGUGAAAUGCGUAGAUAUCGUGAGGAACACCAGAGGCGAAGGCGGUUACCUGGACAGUUACUGACGCUGAGGCGCGAAAGCCAGGGGAGCAAACGGG